rnacentral:rRNA from 1 species
CUGUAAGCCUGCGAAGGUGUGCUGUGAGGCAUGCUGGAGGUAUCAGAAGUGCGAAUGCUGACAUAAGUAACGAUAAAGCGGGUGAAAAGCCCGCUCGCCGGAAGACCAAGGGUUCCUGUCCAACGUUAAUCGGGGCAGGGUGAGUCGACCCCUAAGGCGAGGCCGAAAGGCGUAGUCGAUGGGAAACAGGUUAAUAUUCCUGUACUUGGUGUUACUGCGAAGGGGGGACGGAGAAGGCUAUGUUGGCCGGGCGACGGUUGUCCCGGUUUAAGCGUGUAGGCUGGUUUUCCAGGCAAAUCCGGAAAAUCAAGGCUGAGGCGUGAUGACGAGGCACUACGGUGCUGAAGCAACAAAUGCCCUGCUUCCAGGAAAAGCCUCUAAGCAUCAGGUAACAUCAAAUCGUACCCCAAACCGACACAGGUGGUCAGGUAGAGAAUACCAAGGCGCUUGAGAGAACUCGGGUGAAGGAACUAGGCAAAAUGGUGCCGUAACUUCGGGAGAAGGCACGCUGAUAUGUAGGUGAAGUCCCUCGCGGAUGGAGCUGAAAUCAGUCGAAGAUACCAGCUGGCUGCAACUGUUUAUUAAAAACACAGCACUGUGCAAACACGAAAGUGGACGUAUACGGUGUGACGCCUGCCCGGUGCCGGAAGGUUAAUUGAUGGGGUUAGCGCAAGCGAAGCUCUUGAUCGAAGCCCCGGUAAACGGCGGCCGUAACU